rnacentral:lncRNA from 1 species
GGAGUUAGCUACCGGACUGUCCCGCGAGCGCUGCUCGGGAGACUGAGGCAGAAGAAUCGCUUGAACCCAGAAGGCAGAGGUUGCAGUGUGCCGAAAUCGCACCACUGAACUCCAACCUGAGCAACAGACCAAGACUCCAUCUCAGGAAAAAAAAAAAAAAAAAGCACUUGAAAAAUGACAGAAAGUUGGAAAUAAUACCUAAACCUACUUCUUGACAUGGUGUCAAAACAGAGCUUUUGCUGAGAGUUUGAUUUAUAAAGAAAUUAUGGUUCGACUGACCUUGGAUCUAAUUGCCAGAAACAGCAAUCUUAAACCCCGAAAAGAAGAAACCAUUUCACAGUGCCUGAAGAAAAUAACUCAUAUAAAUUUUUCAGACAAAAAUAUAGAUGCAAUUGAAGACCUCUCUCUUUGCAAAAAUCUUAGUGUUUUAUAUUUAUAUGAUAAUUGUAUUAGUCAAAUCAC